rfam:Asian citrus Psyllid, Diaphorina citri - Florida Strain, whole genome shotgun sequence.
GCCUCGGUGGUGUAGUGGUUAACACGCUCGCCUGGUAAACAGGAGGGCGUGGGUUCAAUCCCACUCGAGGUA